AGGGGCUUAACACAUGCAAGUCGAGGGGCAGCAUUUUUCUUGCAAUAGAAGAGAUGGCGACCGGCGCACGGGUGAGUAACACGUAUCCAACCUACCGAUAACUCUGGAAUAGCCUUUCGAAAGAAAGAUUAGUACCGGAUAGUAUACGAAUAUCGCAUGAUAUUUUUAUUAAAGAAUUUCGGUUAUCGAUGGGGAUGCGUUCCAUUAGUUUGUUGGCGGGGUAACGGCCCACCAAGACUACGAUGGAUAGGGGUUCUGAGAGGAAGGUCCCCCACAUUGGAACUGAGACACGGUCCAAACUCCUACGGGAGGCAGCAGUGAGGAAUAUUGGUCAAUGGGCGCAGGCCUGAACCAGCCAAGUAGCGUGAAGGAUGAAGGCUCUAUGGGUCGUAAACUUCUUUUAUAUGGGAAUAAAGUUUUCCACGUGUGGAAUUUUGUAUGUACCAUAUGAAUAAGGAUCGGCUAACUCCGUGCCAGCAGCCGCGGUAAUACGGAGGAUCCGAGCGUUAUCCGGAUUUAUUGGGUUUAAAGGGAGCGUAGGUGGAUUGUUAAGUCAGUUGUGAAAGUUUGCGGCUCAACCGUAAAAUUGCAGUUGAAACUGGUAGUCUUGAGUACAGUAGAGGUGGGCGGAAUUCGUGGUGUAGCGGUGAAAUGCUUAGAUAUCACGAAGAACUCCGAUUGCGAAGGCAGCUCACUAGACUGUAACUGACACUGAUGCUCGAAAGUGUGGGUAUCAAACAGGAUUAGAUACCCUGGUAGUCCACACAGUAAACGAUGAAUACUCGCUGUUUGCGAUAUACAGUAAGCGGCCAAGCGAAAGCAUUAAGUAUUCCACCUGGGGAGUACGCCGGCAACGGUGAAACUCAAAGGAAUUGACGGGGGCCCGCACAAGCGGAGGAACAUGUGGUUUAAUUCGAUGAUACGCGAGGAACCUUACCCGGGCUUAAAUUGCAACAGAAUAUAUUGGAAACAGUAUAGCCGUAAGGCUGUUGUGAAGGUGCUGCAUGGUUGUCGUCAGCUCGUGCCGUGAGGUGUCGGCUUAAGUGCCAUAACGAGCGCAACCCUUAUCUUUAGUUACUAACAGGUCAUGCUGAGGACUCUAGAGAGACUGCCGUCGUAAGAUGUGAGGAAGGUGGGGAUGACGUCAAAUCAGCACGGCCCUUACGUCCGGGGCUACACACGUGUUACAAUGGGGGGUACAGAAGGCAGCUACACGGCGACGUGAUGCUAAUCCCAAAAACCUCUCUCAGUUCGGAUCGAAGUCUGCAACCCGACUUCGUGAAGCUGGAUUCGCUAGUAAUCGCGCAUCAGCCAUGGCGCGGUGAAUACGUUCCCGGGCCUUGUACACACCGCCCGUCAAGCCAUGAAAGCCGGGGGUACCUGAAGUACGUAACCGCAAGGAGCGUCCUAGGGUAAAACUGGUAAUUGGG
rnacentral:rRNA from 1 species